rnacentral:rRNA from 1 species
AGGGCCCCACCAGGAGUGGAGCCUGCGGCUUAAUUUGACUCAACACGGGGAAACUUACCCGGCCCGGACACCGGAAGGAUUGACAGAUUGAUAGCUUUUUCCUGAUUCCGGGGAUGGUGGUGGAUGGGCGUUCUUAGUUCGUGGAGCGAUUUGGCUGGUUUAUUCCCAUAACGAACGAGACUCUAGGCUACUAAAAAUUCGCACAUUGUGCCUGGGGGGGUGGUUUUUUUUAGGGAGUUUCCCGGGUAAACCGCCCGAAAAUGAAAAAUACCACUACUAGGAUGCCCUUGGAAUCCGGGGCCGCACCCGCGCUACCCUGUCACUAUUCGCGGGCUUUGGCCUUCCCCCAAAGCGACGGGACCCCCCAAGAAAAUAAUCCCGAGUGUGGUUGGGAAAAGUGCUCAUAUUCUAUGAAUCAGGAAAUUCCAAUGAAGGUUAGGGUUAUGAUCUCGUUGAGUGCUCGUCUCGGCCCUGUGCACACAGCCCGCGGCUCGGCGCUACUGAACCAUUUCUAGAAAA